GAUACCCUGCUGUGCUCGUGAAAGUCGUUUUGCGUUUUGAGCCAACACACAUAAAAACGGGGGCCGCUUCUUCAAGCUGGAAUGCGAUAGCCUUCGGGCAAGGCAAACCGCUGAGAAGGCCCCCACCUGAGAUAACAGGUUCAAAAUCUCGCGGCACACGGCACGGCGGGGACAGU
rnacentral:other from 1 species